rnacentral:rRNA from 1 species
GAUGAACGCUAGCUACAGGCUUAACACAUGCAAGUCGAGGGGCAUCAGGAAGAAAGCUUGCUUUCUUUGCUGGCGACCGGCGCACGGGUGAGUAACACGUAUCCAACCUGCCCUUUACUCGGGGAUAGCCUUUCGAAAGAAAGAUUAAUACCCGAUGGCAUAAUGAUUCCGCAUGGUUUCAUUAUUAAAGGAUUCCGGUAAAGGAUGGGGAUGCGUUCCAUUAGGUUGUUGGUGAGGUAACGGCUCACCAAGCCUUCGAUGGAUAGGGGUUCUGAGAGGAAGGUCCCCCACAUUGGAACUGAGACACGGUCCAAACUCCUACGGGAGGCAGCAGUGAGGAAUAUUGGUCAAUGGGCGCUAGCCUGAACCAGCCAAGUAGCAUGAAGGAUGAAGGCUCUAUGGGUCGUAAACUUCUUUUAUAUAAGAAUAAAGUGCAGUAUGUAUACUGUUUUGUAUGUAUUAUAUGAAUAAGGAUCGGCUAACUCCGUGCCAGCAGCCGCGGUAAUACGGAGGAUCCGAGCGUUAUCCGGAUUUAUUGGGUUUAAAGGGAGCGUAGGUGGACUGGUAAGUCAGUUGUGAAAGUUUGCGGCUCAACCGUAAAAUUGCAGUUGAUACUGUCAGUCUUGAGUACAGUAGAGGUGGGCGGAAUUCGUGGUGUAGCGGUGAAAUGCUUAGAUAUCACGAAGAACUCCGAUUGCGAAGGCAGCUCACUGGACUGCAACUGACACUGAUGCUCGAAAGUGUGGGUAUCAAACAGG